GCUCCACUGCUAAUGAAUUGAGGUGUCAUCAGUCAGUUAAUGGGAUAUCAACCCUGUGCCAUGAAGGACUAUCCACAAGCAAUUUCUGUUGACCCAAGCUAUGCAUUAGCCUAUUUCAGUGCAACAGAUGUCUACUUCCAUCACUGACAGUUUUCACAGUAUGGAAGAAACAAAAGAAGACUUUGAGAAGAAGGCAAUUUCUCUCUGACCACUCUCUGCAGCAGUGUAUUUUAACAGGACAAAUUUCUAUAAUGGCUUGAAGGAAUAUGAACUAUCUGAGAAAAACAUUUCAACAGCAUUGUCAAUGCCUUGAUGUAUAAAUUAAGAGCUGAUAUUCAUGGUAAACUGAGUUUCAGUAAAGAAGUUGUAGAAGACUACAACCAAGCAAUCACAAUUCAAGAGCAGAUUGAUUUCAUGAGAAAGGAUAACGCUUCUCACACCACUUGGGUUCUGUUUGCAAGUUUCUCAAACUUCUAACUAAAGUCCAACAUACAAGAAACAAUUACAACUUCUCUCAUAUAUAUUCUAUGCACAUUUCAUUCUCCUAAAUAGUGUAAUUACUUUGUAUAAACUAGGUAGAGUAAUUUAAGAAUAGAAUGCCAUAUUUACAUCUUGAGUUGUUCUUUGUUCUUCAUUUGUUAGUGGAAGGAGAUAAUUAAUUGUUUUGUGCAAACACAAAGAACAUAGAAAAGGAAUUUCUAGGCCAAAGACCUCAAUUGUAUUGGUUAUAGAAAGAUAAAAGUGACUGUGCUCUCCCUUACCCCCGAAAUAUAAAUGCUUACAGUAACUACAUCUCACUUGGACCAUCUGGGUAAUAAUUCUGAGAUGAGUACUAAAUGCUUGUACCUGCAAACUAGGUCUUGUUUUCUUUCUGCUCUUCCUUCUGUACCUUGUUGUAAGAUUUCCUUGUCCCUAUCACAUGGUAGGGGAAAGCCACUGUGCAAGUUCUGUCUGUUGCAGCCUGUGACAGCUACUCUGAGAAGAGAAGUUUGAGGAGGAUGUGGUGAGUGUGAAUAAAAAGUCAUGGUUGCUUGUUUCUGCUCAUAUAUUGCGCUGUGCCAGCUUGAAGAGGCAGGUGAAAGUGCAUAGUUAUGAAUUCUAAGAUGUAAGACUGGUCUUAACACAUUCUCACCUAGACAUGGAAAUUGAAAUGUGAGUCUAUAUGACCAAAAGUAUAAAGAUUGUCAAGCUCUACCCAGGUACUAAAUUGAAGCAUUAAGCCUGGCAUAAUAUGGUGAAGAUAGCAAAAGCAUGAAGCAAAAGAGAUGUCUUUGAGGAAAGAGAAAAAGAAGGAAUGUUGUGCUCUUUCUCAGCAUGCAAGCAGUCAGGCAGUAGAAAUGUUUCCAAAGUCAGUGGCAUUUCAGCAGAUAAUCGUAGUGGUAUAGGACCUGUAUGUGUAAUUUCAGAUUAGUCUUAGCAGCAAAAUGCUGUCAGUUUCAUUGAAGUUAACAUGAAUGAGAUGUACCCAGCUGUUUGCAGCUUGCAGAGAAGAACAAAACCAAAACUUAGGAAUCAAAAACUUCAGUGACAGUAAAUAAAGCUGAAC